CUGCCGCCUCUGCCCGCGCGACCCUCACCCUUCAACCUGCUGGCGCCGCCCGCGCCCCGCGACGCCUGGCCGCGGCCUGUCUUCCCGCCGCCGCCGCCGCCGCCGCAGUUCUUCCUGUCGCCUCCGUGCUGAUCGCCGGGUCCUGCCCUAGGUCGCCGCCCGGGAGGAUCUGCGGGCGGGUUUGGUGAUGCCAUCGCCAAGGCCCUCCUCUGCUUAAGUUUGUGUGGUUUCCUGGAAACUCAGAAGCUGCCUUCCAAGUCACGAAGUCAAGCUUUCAGGUGAAAUCGAUCUUGGGGUCCCCUGGGCCUGGGUGCACCCGGAAAGCAGUGGUGUUGAUGGACAAUCGAUACUGGGCCCCUGACCAGGAGUGUCACAUGCAAGGGCUGGGAAGUCCUCCCCCAGCGGACAGGAAAGCUCCCAGGCCUGUUUGGAAUCACCCAGGUCUGAGUCCCUCUCCUGUCCUACCUAACGCUCUGGCUGCUUCCCCUCUGAGCUAAGAAUCAGUAAACGAGCCCAACGUGCCGGGCUGGACGGGCUGGACGGAACGUGUUCCUGGGA
ensembl:lncRNA